GUACACACCGCCCGUCGCUACUACCGAUUGAAUGAUAAGAUGAAAUCUUUGGAUUUAUUGAAAUCAACUAGGGUAAAACCUAGUCUUUUGAUGAAAAAGUCGAUUAAAUCUUAUUAUUUAGAGGAAGUAAAAGUCGUAACAAGGUUUCCGUAGGUGAACCUGCAGAAGGAUCA
rnacentral:rRNA from 1 species